rnacentral:rRNA from 1 species
ACGCUGGCGGCAGGCCUAACACAUGCAAGUCGAGCGGUAGAGAGAAGCUUGCUUCUCUUGAGAGCGGCGGACGGGUGAGUAAUGCCUAGGAAUCUGCCUGGUAGUGGGGGAUAACGUUCGGAAACGGACGCUAAUACCGCAUACGUCCUACGGGAGAAAGCAGGGGACCUUCGGGCCUUGCGCUAUCAGAUGAGCCUAGGUCGGAUUAGCUAGUUGGUGAGGUAAUGGCUCACCAAGGCGACGAUCCGUAACUGGUCUGAGAGGAUGAUCAGUCACACUGGAACUGAGACACGGUCCAGACUCCUACGGGAGGCAGCAGUGGGGAAUAUUGGACAAUGGGCGAAAGCCUGAUCCAGCCAUGCCGCGUGUGUGAAGAAGGUCUUCGGAUUGUAAAGCACUUUAAGUUGGGAGGAAGGGCCAUUACCUAAUACGUGAUGGUUUUGACGUUACCGACAGAAUAAGCACCGGCUAACUCUGUGCCAGCCGCCGGGUAAUACA